CUUCUUUCCACAGCAACUUCUCCAAAUUUUUAAUUUAUAUUUAUAAUUUCCUUUCUCCCAUAGAUACUUGAUUCAAAUGAAGAAUAAAUGUAGGUUUUCUAUGCAGCUUGGCUCAGUGUCUCCUGAGAUCAUGGACAAUUCAGCUGUCAAUUCAAUUUAGCCAGUUGUCAACAUCAUGAAUCAACAGUAGAAGAAAAAUGAAAGCAUCUAUGAAAUGAGUAAAAGAGGAUAUGAGAUGCUCAGCAGCAUGUAAUCUAGUGCUACCUAAAGCUCUCUAAAGGCUUCUCUAAUCUUUAAAGGCAUUUUGGAGCUUUGAAUCCAUAGGGUUUCAGCUCUGCUGAGAGAUUACCCACACACAACAGCUUUUGCUUUUUUUUUUUUUUUCUUUGUGAUCAAAUUGUUUAAUCAGUUCCAUCAGAUGUGAAGAUACAGGUACUUCAGUAAAUGUCUGUUGUGACAUUGCAGUCCUGCCAGGCUUCUAGCAUAUAAGGAUACAUACAGUACAUCUGAGUUGAGGGCCAGAGGAGACCUUUGCCAUCAUCUGAUGUGAUGCCCUUCAGGACACCAAGCCGAAGAGCUUUCCUGCCAGGAAACCGCCUGGCAACCAUACAGGCCAGGUCUUGGACAGAGCAUGGCUUGAAGGUUACUCAUUAAAAGCAGGCUCAUGCCUCAUUUAAAGAACAACAAAUGGAGGAGGCAGAUCACCAUUUCUUUCUUCAUUUCUUUUUACCUGCAAUUUAGGAACAGCUUUGGUUAAAUCCAGUUUGCAGGUGGGUUUGACUCAACACACAGGCAGAUGCCAGGAAAAGUCACUUCAGUCAGGUGCAGAGCUCAAGGCAGUGACAGGAGAUCUCAUCCCCGGUCAGCCCCGUAAUCCACUGGCACCGGCAAAGCAGCCGCCGACAUGAAAGACCUGAUGUCUGUAUCCAUGAAAGCAGUGGCCAUGCUCCAGUCCUCUGGGGGGCAAGCACUGAUUGCAGCUCUCUGGGGCUUCUUGGAGAAAGCUGGCGGGACUCCUAGUCCUUGCUUAGUUGGACCUAGGAGAAAAACAACUACAUCUUGUCCUUCCCCUAUGCAGACGCAGCUGCUACAACCAGAGCUGGUGGCAAAAUUCCUAACUUCUUCUGUACCUUCUUCAUUCAAGGUUUAUCUUUGGUUCUAUGAAUAUUUGAUUGGCAUGCCCACAUUCCCCAGGAACUUCAGGCUCCUUUACUUCUGCUUUCUUGUUUGCUUCACUAGAGAAUAAGACAGCCAGACACCAGGCAUUUAAAUUAGGAUUAUCAUGUUCAAUUCUUCUACAGUGUGAUGAAGUUAUCAUGGCCAGCUCUGUGGAGUUAUCACCCUUCUGACCAUUAGGAUCUGUAUUGGUUUUGGUCUGACAUUGCAGCAAUGAACUCUCUUUGUUUCCUUUACGGGCAGGAUGGCAUGUGCCUGCAGAGACAGAAUGACCCUGAAGGAGAGACACAGUAGGACCUGUGUGGGAAGCAGCGACAAGAACAUUUGCCACCCAUGUUUUAUCCCACUGCUUGGCCUUACGCUGUUGCCAGCAGUUGUGUGGCUCAGGUCAGGCCAGACUGCAGGAAAAUAGUAAGAAAAAAAACCAGUGGUAUUUCCUUUUUGACUUACAGAACAGUAAAAUCAACAGCAUGCAGCUACUUUUCCUGCUCUGUGAAACAAAUAAAUGGACUAAGGACAAAUAACUUCAGUCCCCAAUUUUCCAUCAUCAGUUGAUCCUGGAUAUUAAAUGGGAUGGAAGGUUAAACUGAGUAUUUCUUUGCGUCUGUGCAGCUGACAGAGGAUAGCAGAUGAAGUUACUACACUGUAGAGAAGCGUUGCCAUUUUAGGUUCUUGGUACCUGAAAACUGCAAUCUUGGAAGCCAGAAUCUUUUAAAUGGAAAGCAAGACAGAAAUGACAGUGGUACACAAUGAAAGAAUGACUUCUGGGAUCAGAUAUUCAAGUCUCUUAGUUCUGGAUCAAGCAAGCAAAUUAAGAUGUGCAUGAAUCAUACAAUUGUUUGUCUAAUGAAGCACUUAAGAAUAACUAGAAGAAAUGAAAUGCAUUAAGGAGUCUAACAGGAGAACGGGCCAUUCCACCAAAUUGCUUCACAGUUUUAUGAUUGUUUUCAAGGAGGGAGUAAAGUGAGAGGAUGAGAAGUCAAUUCUCCAGUUCAAUUUCUGCCUCUUCACUGAUUUCAUGUUAUAAACACAAGGUGACAUAUCCAAGUACUUGUCCUUUAACAGAUUCUUCAGCAAGCAACAGAGCAGAAAGCCCUAAUAUCUAUUCAUUUGUAAUCUGUCAUUCUUAAAGUAUUAAGGACAAUUGACGUCACAUGUCUCAGGACUUGGAUUAAGUUAUAACAGGACUGUGAGGAGGCAGAAGGAAAGAACUCCUUACUGAGGAACCUGUGCAUGCUGUAUGUGCAAUGACAGAAUACAUUGCAGGCAUCAAAUGAAACCCCAGGUUCAUCAAAGAGCAGAAGACCCAUAGGGUGUAAGGCAGCUGGAAGUGUGGGCUUUUUUAGGCUGAAUCAGAGUGAAGAGGUGGCUGCAGAGGAUCGUGAUUUCACAUGUGCUCUACUAGGAAGGCAAUAGAAUCUGCGUCCCAAUAUUUGCAUCUCCCAUGCUCUACACCUGCACUUGCAUUUUCUCUAUGCAAAGUAUGUGUGCAUGCAAAAUCUGAGCUAUCCUUGCACUAGUACCUGGCAACUCUGUUUGAUAUUGAUGGAUGUUUAGUGCACAUGGAGAAGUUUGCUUAUGAAAGAAGGUCACCACAGAAAUUUUGCAGUCCAGACUGUGUUACUGAUGCAGAAGUGAGACAGAGUGGGGUUAAAGGGUUUCCUCACUGUUAGCAAAGAAGUUUGGUACAGAGCUGAAAUUCCCUCCUAGGUCUUCUGAGUUCUUAAUCCAAUGCCCUACCUGCUCCUUCAGCCUUGCUCUGCAAGGUUGCAUCAGACUGGGAAGCAGUGCUCCCAUAUUUGUUUGUCUUCUACUGUUUUUGAAAUCAGAAGAAGAAUUUCCAGAAAUUGAAAGUUGCUAGAUAAAUUCCAGACUAUUUCCCUGGAACUUAUUAUAGUUUGUCCCCCUGCUUCUUUGGAUAUCUAGAUAUUUCAGAGCAGUAACUACUGACUGCAAACUGCAGAUCCAGUUAUUUUAAUAACUGCAUCUCAACCUAUUGUCAUAUUCCUCAGAGUUACUCUAAAGAAAUAUGCAGAAAUAUGACUGUAUAUACACAGAAUUACAGUAAAUGAAAUAACAAUGAGAGGCAUCUGUAUACAAGGCACUCAUUUUCCUUUCCUUUCAGGCUACCUGAAUUCAUUACCUGGCCUUCACACUGUGUGCUGUAUACAAUACAAUGUCUCGUUUCUCCUCCAUUCUGCAAAAUCAGCUUUCUAUUUUUUCUACUUCAAAACCAUAACUCAAAAGCUCUGAAUUGCUAUUAGGUGUUAGUCAAAGGUGCAUUUGAUUUGCUGUUUCGGUAAGUUUUUACAGGAAAUGUUUAGGAAAUAGUGAUUCCCUCAUAUAUAAUAGUUUUUAGUUUACAUGUGAUUAGGAUGUGUCCUGUGCAGACUUGAGUAUGCAGAGCAUUCCACUGGGAUCAGCAGCACUGGUUUAUGCUUAUCAACAGCUGGAAUACCCUCCAUAUGCAGAAUU